rnacentral:rRNA from 1 species
AGUAACGGCGAGUGAAGCGGCAACAGCUCAAAUUUAAAAUCUGGCCUCUUCGGGGCCCGAGUUGUAAUUUGUAGAGGAUGUUUUGGGUACCGCACCGGUUUAAAUUUCUUGGAACAGAAUGUCAGAGAGGGUGAGAAU